rnacentral:rRNA from 1 species
AAUAGAUACCCCGGUAGUCCACGCCGUAAACGAUGGAUACUAGCUGUUUGAGCGCAAGUUUGAGUGGCUAAGCGAAAGUGAUAAGUAUCCCACCUGGGGAGUACGGGCGCAAGCCUGAAACUCAAAGGAAUUGACGGGGGGCCCGCACAAGCGGUGGAGCAUGUGGUUUAAUUCGAUGAUACGCGAGGAACCUUACCAGGGCUUAAAUGUAGAUUGACGUAUUUGGAAACAGAUAUUUCUUCGGACAAUUUACAAGGUGCUGCAUGGUUGUCGUCAGCUCGUGCCGUGAGGUGUCAGGUUAAGUCCUAUAACGAGCGCAACCCCUGUUGUUAGUUGCCAGCGAGUAAUGUCGGGAACUCUAGCAAGACUGCCAGUGUAAACUGUGAGGAAGGUGGGGAUGACGUCAAAUCAUCACGGCCCUUACGUCCUGGGCCACACACGUGCUACAAUGGCCGGUACAGAGAGCAGCCACUUAGCGAUAAGGAGCGAAUCUAUAAAGCCGGUCACAGUUCGGAUCGGAGUCUGCUAAC